UACGUAGGUGGCAAGCGUUGUUCGGAAUUAUUGGGCGUAAAGGGCGCGUAGGCGGUUGGAUAAGCCCUCCGUGAAAUCUCCAGGCUUAACCUGGAAAGUGCAGAGUGGACUGUUCAGCUAGAGGAUGGGAGAGGAGCGCGGAAUUCCCGGUGUAGCGGUGAAAUGCGUAGAGAUCGGGAGGAAGGCCGGUGGCGAAGGCGGCGCUCUGGAACAUUUCUGACGCUGAGGCUCGAAAGCGUGGGGAGCAAACAGG
rnacentral:rRNA from 1 species